CCAUGCAGGCAAAAGUGAGAGGAGGCGGCGAAAAGUAAACAUGCAACAAACAAUCUUUGAUACAAAUGGCGUAAUCACUCGUUACUGUAUCUAUUUCAGAGAUGGUCUGUUUUCCCCCGGAUAUCUUUUUGUACACAGUUCCAAGGCGAGAGGUCAACUUUUACCCCGUUUAGGAUUGUAGUUUUUGCAGGAGCAUGUUUCACCAAAAUUACCCGUUUAAAGCGUUUGUCUGCAGGUUGAUUGUUCUCCGUGUGCAGUUUAAUAAACACUUUGUAACAAUGUCAGUACCGAACCUAUCAGAAGACAGCUCAGAGCUACUCACAGGCAGAAGCCUGUUAAAGAUCAACGCAGACUUUAACGAGAAUGACCACGAUGGAAGAAAGUUGACAGAGGAUGAGGUGGCCAUCCAUAGAGCCCAUACAGAGGCAUGCGAGGCAAAGAAGCAGAUGUAUGUGGACCCUUCCAGUGGGUACAAGGUGUUCACAGAGUAUGCCCACCUUCAGAGAGGGAAAUGUUGUGGCACCGCGUGCAGACAUAUAAGCCUUCCUUAUGAGAACCCCGUCAACAAAACUGAAAAUUUUAUAUCGAAGCAACACAACGAGACCAAAUAGAAAGCAGCAAUAUGGAGGCUAAAAAAAAUAAAGUUAAGUGAAAAUCCCGUCUUCUGUCUUGCACCAUCCCAUCCCCGUCUGUCUUCUCCUGUUCUGUCUUUUCUUGCUCUUUGUGCUUCCGUCCUGAUUUGGUUCGGCCUCAUCCUGUUCUCGUGUUCGGCGUGCAUGUCCAUGUCUUGUUCUCUGUGAUGUCCUACUCCACCUGUAGCCAUUUAAUUAUUUAUUUUUCUCCUCUGCAGUGUCCGUAUGGCCAAGUCAACGUGAAGGACCCUGCAAUGAAGAAAACAUUUAAUUCUCUAUUUUAUGUAUAGGCCUAUAGACGAAGGUGAAACGCCUGUUCAGAACGGAUCCCAGCACACGCUGCUUGGCUUCGGCCUGUCGUUGUUUGGACCACUUGAGAGUCAUUUUUAGCAGUGUACCAAAUGAUGAAAUAUGGGUAGUGUCUGUGCAAUAUCUACCUCCUGUGAAUCACAACUAUUCUCAGGAUUAUUUUUAUUCUCACAAGACAGGGGAGGAGGAGGAGGAAGGAUUUGUUCACUAGAUCUCAUGUAAAAUAGUCUUUUAUCACGUUUUUUGUUUUGCUGUAUUUUUCUGAUAUUUUUCUCAAAUGUCCAAUGAAAUGCCUUGAGCUUCAUUUUUUCCUUUUCUCUUUAAGAGUAUUAAAUAUGUUGUGGUAUCCCGCUCCUCUAAUGCAUUUACAAGGGCUGUGGGAGUAUGGAGAUGAAAACUGAAGGAGCAUUUUAGAUCUUAGCCCUCAAGAUAAAGGGCAUGUAAGCGAAAGUAACUGCAGCAACUGUAGCUAGUCAGAUGGAGUCUUGUGCUCUUUUUGCUUUGCAUCUCUUGUUAUUCUUCCUCCCAAAUGUAGAGCUGCAUGAAUAUUAGCAUCAUUUAAGUGCUCGACUUAACUGUCUACCUUUGACUGGAACGCUGUGUUGUUAAAAAUAGGCAGGGGCCAAGGGUCGGCCCUCACACUUGGCUGCGCUGCUUUUACACCACUUGAUGGAAUCAGGCUGUUAACAAACAUGCCAUGGACAUCAACAGCAGCCCUCCCCACCGGACUCGCAGCUCAGCCUCCUGGCAACACUUGGCUACAGCGCAGCUCCCCGCGGCUGCUCUCCUGAGCUGCAGCCUAAUGAACUCCUGGGCCCCUCUCAUCCCAGCACUGCAACAGAGCCGCUCAUGUUCGCGCGCAUGCUUAGACACACACACAUGCAUAGGCAGGCUCGCUCCGUCAGAACAGCCUGUGGCUCCUAAUAGGCCAAUAUAGAAUAAAGGUUGCACUAAACACUGCACUUUGUAGCCCACAGUAAUAGUACAAGGUAAGGUCAAGCGCUCAUGCAAGCGGCGCCUGUGCGUGCGAGAGAUGCUGAGGGAAGAUGUGCCACUUGAUUUGUGAGUGCAUGUGGGUAGGCAGCGCGAUGCCUCCAGGCGCUCGCUCUGAACCUGCCACACACACUCGCCUGUCUCCGCCUGAUUGGGCAAACAGCGUCGGGAUGAGAGGAUGUGUCUGCCGCGGAAAUUCUGUCGCUGCCGCCUACCGGCGCGGCCACAGUUUCCCAUUCGGCAGGUGGGUCCCAAAGGCAAGUGCUUAGUGAUCGGAGCAAAGCCCUGUGAGCGGCUACAAGGAGAUUCAUGAUCCCAACAGUGCUGGGGAGGACAGGUUCUCGGGGACGCGUCGUCAGUGCGGGAUGAGAGGCGAAUUUAUUUGGUGUUAUUCUAAACCGAGGCAGCGGAGCGUGCGGCAGCAACAUUUCUACAGCGGGAUGGUGAAGGUGUCACACUCAUCAAGUACCUGGGCCCGCUUGCCUGCCGCGGCUCUGCUGGUUUUGCCUAGGGACUUGUCUGUCACAUUAAAGUAGAUGCAUUGCCAUUCAGGGCCUCGGCGGUCCCGCAGCCUGACCAUGAAAUAGGCCAACUUUCAUGUCUGCCUCAUUCCUCCACGUCUUCCCAAUCCAGUGAUGGCACAGUUUGAAAUGUUUUUUUUUUUUUGUUUUUUUUUGUAAUUUAAAUAUCAUGUUCUAGCCUAGAAGUUGGUGACUGAGACACAAACAGCACAGCAAUCCCUUCGACAGAUUUAUGGAGAAAUUAGCUUGAAAAUCGACCCCGCCUUCUGCCCCCGUGGUCAAUCAUCAUGAAGUAGGCCUGUGUUUGGAAAGAGUAAGCCUUGCCUUAGUGGGCGUAUACAUGUUCUUAAAAUGGGACCUUUUCAGAUGCUUGACUGAGUAUGUCACGAAGCAUUUAACUAAAAAUCAGGACAUUUUUUCUCAUUGACUUUCAGAUGAAUUGUUUGUAAUAUGCUAGAGUUUUUAACUAAAUGUAGCCUUUUUUUUUUACUUUAUUCGACACGUUGGGAACAUUAAAUGUAUUUACCCACAAAAUACCUCAAUCGAUCUUAUUCAUGGAUUCAUUCAUUUUGUCAGUUUAUUAGGUACACAAUCUAAUGCAAUUCAAUGCAACAGCUCUGUCAUGAAUUCUACCUGGACAAUGUUUAUACAGCUCAGUUUCUGUUGAAAUGGUUGUGAAUGUGAAAAUUGAAUUAUAUGCUUAUUAUUGAGGUUAUAGUUUGCAGUGAUGUUGUACUGGACUCCAAAUAUUAAGAGGUGUUUCAAAUUUUUUGUCCUCCCAUAUUUAUAUACAUGGGGGGGGGGGGGCAGAAUAUUAGAAACACUUCUCAACUAUGACCUCAAUGCUAAACAUAUAAUUGAAUUAACACCAUAUGACAGUAUCAAAAACCCCUGAACAUUAUAGGCAUGAUAACUAUAAGAAUAAACUAUAUCGCAGAAUAAUUGGAUUGAAUUGUACUAGAUUGUACAAGUGUACCUAAUAAAGUGGCCACUGAGUGUAUAUACACACACACAGUGGCAAAGUUACAACAGCCAACCUGACAUGUGGGGUGUUUAUUUCAGGCAUUUUGGACUGAACAUCUCUGACCUUCAGCUGGAGCAUAUGCUGUGCUGGAGCAGAGUGGCAGCUAUAUGUACCGUGUGCCUUUCUGCAGGACGACUAGCCGCAGAGAAAAAAGAGAGCUGUCCAGUUUGGAACAGUGACCAGACAGGCUCCAGUCACAACCAGUUGACAGGCCAAGCAGCCCCUCCUCACUCUACUCCCCCCCUCCAUCUCCAAACAGCCACAGCAGCCCUGCGGCCAAUGGCCUCAACCACAGUCAGUUACAGUGUCUCCAUCACUGUUGGCCAGACCAGCCAGGAACUGACAUAGGGUUGGCGGCGGAAAAAAAACUUGAGUGUCAGCCGUAUGAUGGCUGAAAGGAACAUCAGUCUCAGCAAUUGGCCAGGCACUGCUUUGUACGCUAGUGUGUGUGCACGCACGCAAGUAUAUACGUGCACGUGUGUCUUGAUAUUCAAGCAGCAUUUGAGCAGCGCCUGCAUCAACGUCUGGUCGUUCUACACAGACAAUGUCAGCCCGCCUCGGGGCAGCAGCCUCCGCAGUGGUCAUAUGGACAACCAGAUCCCUGUGGUAGAAUUAGUGAUAAAAAACACACAUGGCCACUGAGUGACAGUCAGGGCACCAGAUUCCUUUGGACAGACAGGGCUGCAAAUAGCACAGAGGAGCAGUUUCUCCCUCAGACCACAACUGGUGGCCAGGCUCAUGCCAGGCCAAGUCGUGGCCGCCAGAUGAGCCCAGAUAAAAGGAGACUCAGAGGCAGUAACAGGCACCUAGUGCCCAAGCAGCACUUUGGCCUGUUUAUUUCCCUCCUGGUUUUACAUCAAUGCAGUUAUAUCUAAGGUUUCUUGUCUACACUAACAAGACAAAUGAUUUGGCUUCUUUUUUUUCUUUUCUAUUACACUAUAACCUUUAACUUAUGUUCCCCUAUGACUCGGUCUACAAUGAAUGGUUGAAAGGAAGAGAGUGUUUGACAAUAUAACAACAAGCAUCACCUAAACAUGUGUGUCUCCUCCGAAAAGCCACUUUACCCCAUAAGGUUAUAUAGCAAUAAAAAAAACAUCCAUCUAUUAUGUUUCCAUGUCUUUUCUAGUGUGGCCAGAUAUGGACUAAUACGUGCACCAUUCCCCAGGAGGAUACUCUGUCCCCAGAGGAGGUGGUGGUGGUGGGGGGUGGCGGGGGUGUGCUGUUGGAGCUGUUCUGGAGGCAGGGAGGGGAGGCAGGCAGCAGUUGGUGUGCAGAGAGCAGAGGCUCAGGCUGGCUAGUUAAGAGCUUCUCUCGCCUAUCCUCCAUCUGCCAGGGACCGGGGUUGUGAUUUGAGCUCCAGCAGAGCAGAGCAGGGAGGAGAUCGAA